UCUCCGUAGGUGAACCUGUGGAAGGAUCAGUAUUGUAUAACCGAGAUGCGAGGGCUGUCGCUGACCCGAAAGGUCGUGCACGCCCGAGUGCCCUCACACAGAUCCAUCUCACCCCUAUGUGCACCACCGCGUGGGUCCCCCUUUGGCUUGUUCGGAGGGGGUCUUACGUUUUCACACAUACUUUGUAUGAAGUGUAGAAUGUAUUUUUUGUUUUUGAGAUCACGCAAACAAUACAACUUUCAACAACGGAUCUCUUGGCUCUA
rnacentral:misc_RNA from 1 species